rnacentral:lncRNA from 1 species
UUAAUCCCCAUUUUACAGAUGUGGUAUCUGAGCCACAGAUAGAAGUUAAGUGACUUGCCCAAAGUCACACAGCUGACAAGCGGCGAAGCCGGGAUUAGAACACUUGCAAGCCCGUGCUCUUUCCACUGAGCCAGGCUGCUUCUCAUUUAGAUAACGAUAUAGUCAUUUGCACUUGCCACUUUUAACAGCUUGUCAAUAAGCUAUGCCUAUGAACCUCCUGCCUAAAGGAAUUUUCAGGUAGCAGAAGAAAAAUUUCUCAAGGUCAAAAUGCAGUUAAAACGACAAUCCAAGAUAAUUGAAAGCUGGCUGGAAGUGUGUUUCACUGAAGCGUGAAGGCUAUGCAGUCUCACUACAGAUUUCCUAAAGAGAUCCCUUUUCAUGAAGGUUUUCACUUCCUGCCACUGGGGAUUGACAUGAUGGGUGACCAGAAGAAGCGAGAGUCUGUCUUCCUGAAACUCAGAGGCUGUCUUGGGGAACUUAGUUGACAGGGCAGAAAAUAGAGUUUCAAGUUUAAGUCUCCAGGUGUAAAAAAAUUGUUAGUGUCUCUGUCCAUGUGACAUAUACAAAAACACAGGAAAUGUAAAAAUAUAAUACUUUUGGAAAAAUUGAUACUGUCCUCUCUGUACAGUAUUCUCUUUUUUUCCUUAUUUCCAAGAAGAAUACAAGUCUAGAAAGGAUAUCUAGAAAGGAGGCUAAAGGAUGUCAUUAAAGGGGACAUUUUCACAAGAUUCUUGAUUUACAGGUACAUUUCACACUAUUCAAACACUUUUGCUCAAUUUAAAUCUGAGUAUCUCACUGUUCCUACAGUUUUUUUUGUGAUUUUUAAUCAAUUAAUGGUAUUUAUUGAGCACCUAUUAUGUGCAUAGCAUUGCAUUAGGAGCUUGGGAGAGUACAUAAUAACAGAGUUGGCAGACAAGUUCCCUGCCCACAAGAAUCUUAUAGCCCAGAGGGAAAUUCUGUCCAAUGACUUAACAAAAUGGUGUGCAAGCACAUGCAUAUUUUUGAAUUAAUUUGACAAAGUGCUCUGCACCUAGGAAGCUCUCAAUAAAUACCACUGAUUGAUUUUCUCUAAAAUUUAAUUUUUGUGUUUGCCACAGUAUUGACAGCUUCUAUAGACUUCAUAUUUUAUUAGCUUAAAGAGGCACUCAGAUGUCUUUUCUUCUAAUUAAGCUCCCUCUUUGGAAUUUGAACUUUCUAAGUCAGAUGAUGUAACACCUGCUUUGUAUUUCAAGACUGCCCUCUGCAUUUUGAUGGUUUGGGGUACUUUUUGUGCAGGGCACUGUACUAAAGCACUUGGGAAAGAACAAUACAUAAGAGUUGUUAAGCACAAUCCUUGCUCACAAGGAGCUUACAAUCUAGAGGCAUUAAAAUAAGUUACAGAUAUAAUAAUUGUAGUAUUUAAGUGCUUAGUAUGUACCAGGCACUGUAAUAAGUGCUGGAGUAGAUACAUGCAAAUUGGGUUGGACAC